GCAGAGCAACAUGUAGCCUAAUAUAAGAUUUAAAAAGUAAAAAUGCAGGGGCGACAAGCUGAUUCUAUGUCCAAAAACAUUGCAACAGAUUUUACUGGAGUAUUGAUAGAUAAAUUAUUUAUUGUUAUUUUAUGUAAUCUUUUUUAUUCGUGAGAUAAGAUUAGACCCACUUGUUGGAAGAAUUCCCUAAACAUUUCCCCCAGGAAGCUACUGAGGAUUACCUGUAUAAGAACACCCAAUGCACUUAAAAUGUUAUGCCAGGUUGAAGGAUUCUUAAACUGCAUCUGGAGGAGAGAGAAGCAAGGAGAGAGGAAACAUUCUGAAGGAGCUGUAAUCAAGGAGAGGUGUGAAACACUGCUGGAAUAUACAAACCAUGGCUUUUUAAUGACAUCACCUGCCAGCCUAGCUCUGCUUUCCUAUUCACUUCUACUACUGUAACUUCCACCUGCCUACCUGCUUUCACUCUGGUUUCACUCCACAUUAACUCAGCCUCAGACAUCAGUCCGUCGUCUUCCUGCUCACUCAGCUCUGGCUUUGCCAAACAUCUCAUUCUGCUCCUUCCGUCUCCACUGACUCAUCAUAUUACAACCCAAACAUCGGAGCAUUCAUAAUAAAAGCCUUCUUGGAAGUUUUUCCAGCUUGACUCGGUGUGUUUUGGCUUUUGGGCUGUGAAGCUUUAAUUCAACAUAAGAAUUAAAAAAAAAAUCUCUAUUAUACAACCACCUAUAUCCCAAUAUGCAACUUACAUAUACAUAGUUUAAAAACCAGAGAGUUCACUUUUUUUGUGAAGCAGGAAGCAAAGAAGUCAAAGUAUAGAAGGAUUAUCUGCAAUUUCUUUUAUAGUAUCAAC